CCUACGGGGGGCAGCAGUGAGGAAUAUUGGUCAAUGGACGAGAGUCUGAACCAGCCAAGUAGCGUGAAGGAUGACUGCCCUAUGGGUUGUAAACUUCUUUUAUAUGGGAAUAAAAUGUUCCACGUGUGGGAUUUUGUAUGUACCAUAUGAAUAAGGAUCGGCUAACUCCGUGCCAGCAGCCGCGGUAAUACGGAGGAUCCGAGCGUUAUCCGGAUUUAUUGGGUUUAAAGGGAGCGUAGGUGGAUUGUUAAGUCAGUUGUGAAAGUUUGCGGCUCAACCGUAAAAUUGCAGUUGAAACUGGCAGUCUUGAGUACAGUAGAGGUGGGCGGAAUGCGAGGUGUAGCGGUGAAAUGCUUAGAUAUCACGAAGAACUCCGAUUGCGAAGGCAGUUCACUGGACUGCAACUGACACUGAGGCUCGAAAGUGUGGAUAUCAAACAGGAUUAGAUACCCCAGUAGUC
rnacentral:rRNA from 1 species